GUUAGCACAGACAGCUGGUAUUAAAUCAAUGGACAUCUCAGCAAUAUUGCUACUUCCAUUUAUUGCUCAUUUGUGAGUACAAGUACAUGAGGUACCAGGAUGUCAGGUACCAGUCAAUGAGCAGAUAGAUGUGGACAGCUCCAAGUAAAGGUUGCUUGCUAGCAAAGCACAUUUUACUCACCCGAAACAUACAUACAUAAAUACACACACACACACACACACACAGUUAUUCACUAAAGUUAGAAUUCAAAAUGAAUUUCCAAUUUUAUACCAAAAUAGCCAAACCGGAAGCAUAGCGGAUUAGUGAAUUUUUCAAAUUUCAGAUAUUUUGAUCUGAAAGAGACACUACGGGCACCCAGACCAGAUCAUCUCAUUGAAGUGGUCUGGGUACAGUUUCCCUGUCCCCUCAACCCUGCAUUGGGGAAGGCCUAAUGUGCAUGUGGUGCUCUGAGAGACAUUGGCGUUGGAAUCAGAUAAGUAAAAAAAGGGCAAGUAACCCUUUAUCUGCUAUGAAGAUAG